AUUGAACGCUGGCGGCAGGCCUAACACAUGCAAGUCGAACGGAGUGGCGGACGGGUGAGUAAUGCCUAGGAAUCUGCCUGGUAGUGGGGGAUAACGUCCGGAAACGGGCGCUAAUACCGCAUACUAUCAGAUGAGACUAGGUCGGAUUAGCUAGUUGGUGGGGUAAAGGCCUACCAGGGCGACGAUCCGGACCGGGUCUGAGAGGAUGAGCAGUCACACUGGAACUGCGACACGGUCCAGACGCCUACGGGGGGCAGCAGUGGGGAAUAUUGGACAAUGGGCGAAAGCCUGAUCCAGCCGUGCCGCGUGUGUGAAGAAGGUCUGCGGAUUGUAAAGCAUUGUAAGUUGGGAGGCGUUACCAACAGAAUAGGCACCGGCGAACUUCGUGCCAGCAGCCGCGGUAAUAC
rnacentral:rRNA from 1 species